AACAGGAUUAGAUACCCUGGUAGUCCACGCCGUAAACGAUGUCGACUUGGAGGUUGUUCCCUUGAGGAGUGGCUUCCGGAGCUAACGCGUUAAGUCGACCGCCUGGGGAGUACGGCCGCAAGGUUAAAACUCAAAUGAAUUGACGGGGGCCCGCACAAGCGGUGGAGCAUGUGGUUUAAUUCGAUGCAACGCGAAGAACCUUACCUACUCCUGACAUCCACGGAAUUUGGCAGAGAUGCCUUAGUGCCUUCGGGAACCGUGAGACAGGUGCUGCAUGGCUGUCGUCAGCUCGUGUUGUGAAAUGUUGGGUUAAGUCCCGCAACGAGCGCAACCCUUAUCCUUUGUUGCCAGCGAUUCGGUCGGGAACUCAAAGGAGACUGCCGGUGAUAAACCGGAGGAAGGUGGGGAUGACGUCAAGUCAUCAUGGCCCUUACGAGUAGGGCUACACACGUGCUACAAUGGCGCAUACAAAGAGAAGCGACCUCGCGAGAGCAAGCGGACCUCACAAAGUGCGUCGUAGUCCGGAUCGGAGUCUGCAACUCGACUCCGUGAAGUCGGAAUCGCUAGUAAUCGUGGAUCAGAAUGCCACGGUGAAUACGUUCCCGGGCCUUGUACACACCGCCCGUCACACCAUGGGAGUGGGUUGCAAAAGAAGUAGGUAGCUUAACCUUCGGGAGGGCGCUUACCACUUUGUGAUUCAUGACUGGGGUGAAGUCGUAACAAGGUAACC
rnacentral:rRNA from 1 species